rnacentral:rRNA from 1 species
UUAAGCGACUAAGCGUACACGGUGGAUGCCCUGGCAGUCAGAGGCGAUGAAGGACGUGCUAAUCUGCGAUAAGCGCCGGUAAGGUGAUAUGAACCGUUAUAACCGGCGAUUUCCGAAUGGGGAAACCCAGUGUGAUUCGUCACACUAUCAUUAACUGAAUCCAUAGGUUAAUGAGGCGAACCGGGGGAACUGAAACAUCUAAGUACCCCGAGGAAAAGAAAUCAACCGAGAUUCCCCCAGUAGCGGCGAGCGAACGGGGAGGAGCCCAGAGCCUGAAUCAGCAUGUGUGUUAGUGGAAGCGUCUGGAAAGGCGCGCGAUACAGGGUGACAGCCCCGUACACAAAAGCGCAUGUGCUGUGAGCUCGAUGAGUAGGGCGGGACACGUGGUAUCCUGUCUGAAUAUGGGGGGACCAUCCUCCAAGGCUAAAUACUCCUGACUGACCGAUAGUGAACCAGUACCGUGAGGGAAAGGCGAAAAGAACCCCGGCGAGGGGAGUGAAAAAGAACCUGAAACCGUGUACGUACAAGCAGUGGGAGCACCCUUCGGGGUGUGACUGCGUACCUUUUGUAUAAUGGGUCAGCGACUUAUAUUCUGUAGCAAGGUUAACCGUAUAGGGGAGCCGGAGGGAAACCGAGUCUUAAUUGGGCGUUAAGUUGCAGGGUAUAGACCCGAAACCCGGUGAUCUAGCCAUGGGCAGGUUGAAGGUUGGGUAACACUAACUGGAGGACCGAACCGACUAAUGUUGAAAAAUUAGCGGAUGACCUGUGGCUGGGGGUGAAAGGCCAAUCAAACCGGGAGAUAGCUGGUUCUCCCCGAAAGCUAUUUAGGUAGCGCCUCGUGAAUUCAUCUCCGGGGGUAGAGCACUGUUUCGGCUAGGGGGCCAUCCCGGCUUACCAACCCGAUGCAAACUGCGAAUACCGGAGAAUGUUAUCACGGGAGACACACGGCGGGUGCUAACGUCCGUCGUGAAGAGGGAAACAACCCAGACCGCCAGCUAAGGUCCCAAAGUCAUGGUUAAGUGGGAAACGAUGUGGGAAGGCCCAGACAGCCAGGAUGUUGGCUUAGAAGCAGCCAUCAUUUAAAGAAAGCGUAAUAGCUCACUGGUCGAGUCGGCCUGCGCGGAAGAUGUAACGGGGCUAAACCAUGCACCGAAGCUGCGGCAGCGAACGUAUCACCCAAGACAACUUUACGGAGUUGACGAUUGACGGAGCGAAGCGACGUCAAAGCGUUCAUUAAAGUCGAGUUGGCUUAGGGAUACGUUCGUUGGGUAGGGGAGCGUUCUGUAAGCCUGUGAAGGUGUGUCGUGAGGCAUGCUGGAGGUAUCAGAAGUGCGAAUGCUGACAUAAGUAACGAUAAAGCGGGUGAAAAGCCCGCUCGCCGGAAGACCAAGGGUUCCUGUCCAACGUUAAUCGGGGCAGGGUGAGUCGACCCCUAAGGCGAGGCCGAAAGGCGUAGUCGAUGGGAAACGGGUUAAUAUUCCCGUACUUGGUGUUACUGCGAAGGGGGGACGGAGAAGGCUAUGUUGGCCGGGCGACGGUUGUCCCGGUUUAAGGGUGUAGGUGUGUGUUCCAGGUAAAUCCGGUUCACUUUAACACUGAGGCGUGACGACGAGGCACUACGGUGCUGAAGCAACAAAUGCCCUGCUUCCAGGAAAAGCCUCUAAGCAUCAGGUAACAUCAAAUCGUACCCCAAACCGACACAGGUGGUCAGGUAGAGAAUACCAAGGCGCUUGAGAGAACUCGGGUGAAGGAACUAGGCAAAAUGGUGCCGUAACUUCGGGAGAAGGCACGCUGACACGUAGGUGAAGUGAUUUACUCAUGGAGCUGAAGUCAGUCGAAGAUACCAGCUGGCUGCAACUGUUUAUUAAAAACACAGCACUGUGCAAACACGAAAGUGGACGUAUACGGUGUGACGCCUGCCCGGUGCCGGAAGGUUAAUUGAUGGGGUCAGCGUAAGCGAAGCUCCUGAUCGAAGCCCCGGUAAACGGCGGCCGUAACUAUAACGGUCCUAAGGUAGCGAAAUUCCUUGUCGGGUAAGUUCCGACCUGCACGAAUGGCGUAAUGAUGGCCAGGCUGUCUCCACCCGAGACUCAGUGAAAUUGAACUCGCUGUGAAGAUGCAGUGUACCCGCGGCAAGACGGAAAGACCCCGUGAACCUUUACUAUAGCUUGACACUGAACAUUGAGCCUUGAUGUGUAGGAUAGGUGGGAGGCUUUGAAGUGUGGACGCCAGUCUGCAUGGAGCCGACCUUGAAAUACCACCCUUUAAUGUUUGAUGUUCUAACGUGGACCCGUAAUCCGGGUUGCGGACAGUGUCUGGUGGGUAGUUUGACUGGGGCGGUCUCCUCCUAAAGAGUAACGGAGGAGCACGAAGGUUGGCUAAUCCUGGUCGGACAUCAGGAGGUUAGUGCAAUGGCAUAAGCCAGCUUGACUGCGAGCGUGACGGCGCGAGCAGGUGCGAAAGCAGGUCAUAGUGAUCCGGUGGUUCUGAAUGGAAGGGCCAUCGCUCAACGGAUAAAAGGUACUCCGGGGAUAACAGGCUGAUACCGCCCAAGAGUUCAUAUCGACGGCGGUGUUUGGCACCUCGAUGUCGGCUCAUCACAUCCUGGGGCUGAAGUAGGUCCCAAGGGUAUGGCUGUUCGCCAUUUAAAGUGGUACGCGAGCUGGGUUUAGAACGUCGUGAGACAGUUCGGUCCCUAUCUGCCGUGGGCGCUGGAGAACUGAGGGGGGCUGCUCCUAGUACGAGAGGACCGGAGUGGACGCAUCACUGGUGUUCGGGUUGUCAUGCCAAUGGCACUGCCCGGUAGCUAAAUGCGGAAGAGAUAAGUGCUGAAAGCAUCUAAGCACGAAACUUGCCCCGAGAUGAGUUCUCCCUGAGACUUAGAGUCUCCUGAAGGAACGUUGAAGACGACGACGUUGAUAGGCCGGGUGUGUAAGCGCAGCGAUGCGUUGAGCUAACCGGUACUAAUGAACCGUGAGGCUUAACCUU